rnacentral:rRNA from 1 species
CAGCCGCCGCGGGAAUACGUAGGUGGCAAGCGUUGUCCGGAAUUAUUGGGCGUAAAGGGCUCGCAGGCGGUUUCUUAAGUCUGAUGUGAAAGCCCCCGGCUCAACCGGGGAGGGUCAUUGGAAACUGGGAAACUUGAGUGCAGAAGAGGAGAGUGGAAUUCCACGUGUAGCGGUGAAAUGCGUAGAGAUGUGGAGGAACACCAGUGGCGAAGGCGACUCUCUGGUCCGUAACUGACGCUGAGGAGCGAAAGCGUGGGGAGCGAACAGGAUUAGAUACCCCAGUAGUCCCUGUCUCUUAUAU